rnacentral:rRNA from 1 species
ACCUGUGACCAAAUCACCCAGAAUGCACCAGAUCUCAUCAGAACUCAAAAGCUAAGCAGGUCUGAGCCUGGAAAAAAACGCUAGGAUGGGUGACCACCAUGCAUAACCAGGUUGUUAUAGGGC